rnacentral:rRNA from 1 species
UACGAAGGGGGCUAGCGUUGUUCGGAGUUACUGGGCGUAAAGGGCGCGUAGGCGGCGCAUCAAGUCAGGCGUGAAAGCCCUGGGCUCAACCCGGGAAUUGCGCUUGAGACUGAGUGGCUUGAGUACGAGAGAGGUGAGUGGAAUUCCCAGUGUAGAGGUGAAAUUCGUAGAUAUUGGGAAGAACACCGGUGGCGAAGGCGGCUCACUGGCUCGUAACUGACGCUCAUGCACGACAGCGUGGGGAUCAAACAGG